GGGACUAAAAAGAUCGGCGUCCGGGCCAUUCUGUGCCUCCUCCGCCAACCGAACCCCGUCGUAGAACAUCGUCGGCGCCUUUUUAUCCCCUCCCGGCCCUCCACUCUGCCGGCCUCCGCCACGAGCGGCAGCGCUGUAAGAAUCUUCACCGCCGGGUCGCCGGAACUGCUCGGCGGGGAGCGGUUGUGGAGGGUGGGGAGACGUUAAAAUAGAAGAAUUCUGUGGGAAAGAAGAGGCAGCGACGGAGGGCGUUCUUCCACUUCGAAACCAGCCUGCCUAACAGCGUUGCGAGCACCCAUUUGAGAUGAAAUUUGCAGAUUGGUACCUGAAGAUCGCGGCGGUAUCGGCGCUGUGUGGAGCCGCGAUGGAGCUCUUCAUGAUCCACACCGGCUUCUGUAUCACUAUGAUAAGGUAACUGUUCUGGAGUCAGAAAAGCGAGCAUGGGAGAGCUCUCCAGAAGCUCAAGCCAUCAAAGAUGCUCUUAAUCCAUGGAGAAAGCUUGAUGAAGAAGCAAAAAGACCCUCAUAAUGAAAUAAAUGUCAAUGGUGUGCCUCCAUCAAUUGAUCUCAUGCCUUUGGUUGCGCCGUUUCCUUGGGUUGAAAGGAAAUAGAGGUUUGUCUGGAAUUUAGAUUUCAUAUCCACUGACUUGGUUUGUAUUUCUCAAGAACUACUUUAUGCGAAAAUAAUGUUAAAGAAUAAUCAAAACAUAGAUGUGUCUAUCAUAUACUGAUCCACAACCCAAAUAUAUAUUGAGAACUUCUUGCAUGUUGAAGACA